rnacentral:rRNA from 1 species
UAGGGAAUCUUCGGCAAUGGACGAAAGUCUGACCGAGCAACGCCGCGUGAGUGAAGAAGGUUUUCGGAUCGUAAAACUCUGUUGUUAGAGAAGAACAAGGACGUUAGUAACUGAACGUCCCCUGACGGUAUCUAACCAGAAAGCCACGGCUAACUACGUGCCAGCAGCCGCGGUAAUACGUAGGUGGCAAGCGUUGUCCGGAUUUAUUGGGCGUAAAGCGAGCGCAGGCGGUUUCUUAAGUCUGAUGUGAAAGCCCCCGGCUCAACCGGGGAGGGUCAUUGGAAACUGGGAGACUUGAGUGCAGAAGAGGAGAGUGGAAUUCCAUGUGUAGCGGUGAAAUGCGUAGAUAUAUGGAGGAACACCAGUGGCGAAGGCGGCUCUCUGGUCUGUAACGGACGCUGAGGCUAGAAAGCGUGGGGAGCAAACAGG